rnacentral:rRNA from 1 species
GACGAACGCUGGCGGCGUGCUUAACACAUGCAAGUCGAGCGGUAAGGCCCUUUCGGGGGUACACGAGCGGCGAACGGGUGAGUAACACGUGGGCGACCUACCCUCAGCUUCGGGAUAAGCCUGGGAAACUGGGUCUAAUACCGGAUAUGACCUUCCCUCGCAUGGGGGUUGGUGGAAAGUUUUUUCGGCUGGGGAUGGGCCCGCGGCCUAUCAGCUUGUUGGUGGGGUGAUGGCCUACCAAGGCGACGACGGGUAGCCGGCCUGAGAGGGCGACCGGCCACACUGGGACUGAGAUACGGCCCAGACUCCUACGGGAGGCAGCAGUGGGGAAUAUUGCGCAAUGGGCGGAAGCCUGACGCAGCGACGCCGCGUGGGGGAUGACGGCCUUCGGUUGU